rnacentral:rRNA from 1 species
UACGUAGGGUGCGAGCGUUAAUCGGAAUUACUGGGCGUAAAGCGUGCGCAGGCGGUCAGUUAAGUCUGAUGUGAAAGCCCUGGGCUCAACCUGGGAAUGGCAUUGGAAACUGGCUUGCUAGAGUGUGGCAGAGGGGGGUGGAAUUCCGCGUGUAGCAGUGAAAUGCGUAGAGAUGCGGAGGAACACCGAUGGCGAAGGCAGCCCCCUGGGCCGACACUGACGCUCAGGCACGAAAGCGUGGGGAGCAAACAGG